UCGGAUGUGGUGCACGGCGCACAGCAGCUCCUGUUGAUAUUUUGACGAGAGUGUUGUAGGCUGAAGACCGGGGUUCGAUUCCCCGCGUCCGAA